GUCCACAAUCAUCGCGCUUUGCUACUAUCACAUCAGUGUUUACAAAAUCUCCGUGGCGUGUGUUGUUGUUUAUAAUUUCUUUAAAUCACAAUGGAAUUGUGUUUUGAUGAUACAACUGCGUCACAGAAGUUGAGUUUCGAUGAGAUGUACACGGAUUUCGAUAGUUGGUUGUCAAAAUUUGAUAGAUGCUUAAAAAAAAGGUCAACUUACUUUAAAGAAGUAAAAAAUGACAAAAUGAAAAUAGGCUUAUACAUCGAAGAAAAUAUUAAUCAUUGUAUCCCAAAUUUACUUAAAAAAUGCCAAAACCGCGCGAAAUCUAAUCAUGAAAAUAAUACUUAUAUGUUAACAGAUGGCGCUAUAACAGAAAUUGAUUUAAGACUUCUAGAUCGAUUGUUAUUGAGAUAUUAUUUACGAAAUAUACGGUCUAAACUCUA